rnacentral:rRNA from 1 species
CUACGGGUCGCUCCAGUGGGGAAUAUUGCACAAUGGGCGCAAGCCUGAUGCAGCCAUGCCGCGUGUAUGAAGAAGGCCUUCGGGUUGUAAAGUACUUUCAGCGGGGAGGAAGGGAGUAAAGUUAAUACCUUUGCUCAUUGACGUUACCCGCAGAAGAAGCACCGGCUAACUCCGUGCCAGCAGCCGCGGUAGUACGGAGGGUGCAAGCGUUAAUCGGAAUUACUGGGCGUAAAGCGCACGCAGGCGGUUUGUUAAGUCAGAUGUGAAAUCCCCGGGCUCAACCUGGGAACUGCAUCUGAUACUGGCAAGCUUGAGUCUCGUAGAGGGGGGUAGAAUUCCAGGUGUAGCGGUGAAAUGCGUAGAGAUCCGGAGGAAUACCGGUGGCGAAGGCGGCCCCCUGGACGAAGACUGACGCUCAGGUGCGAAAGCGUGGGGAGCAAACAGGAUUAGAUACCCUAGUAGUC